CAGUAGCCGCGGUAAAACGUAGGGCGCAAGCGUUGUCCGGAAUUAUUGGGCGUAAAGAGCUCGUAGGCGGUCUGUCGCGUCUGGUGUGAAAUCCCGAGGCUCAACCUCGGGCUUGCAUCGGGUACGGGCAGACUAGAGUGCGGUAGGGGAGACUGGAAUUCCUGGUGUAGCGGUGGAAUGCGCAGAUAUCAGGAGGAACACCGAUGGCGAAGGCAGGUCUCUGGGCCGCAACUGACGCUGAGGAGCGAAAGCAUGGGGAGCGAACAGGAUUAGAUACCCGCGUAGUCCCUGUCUCUUAUAC
rnacentral:rRNA from 1 species